UCCGAAGGGGGCUAGCGUUGCUCGGAAUCACUGGGCGUAAAGCGCACGUAGGCGGCUUUCUAAGUCAGGGGUGAAAUCCUGGAGCUCAACUCCAGAACUGCCUUUGAUACUGGAGAGCUAGAGUCCGGAAGAGGUGAGUGGAACUGCGAGUGUAGAGGUGAAAUUCGUAGAUAUUCGCAAGAACACCAGUGGCGAAGGCGGCUCACUGGUCCGGUACUGACGCUGAGGUGCGAAAGCGUGGGGAGCAAACAGG
rnacentral:rRNA from 1 species